UCACAGGUGCUGCAAGUUCACGGGUGUGAUC
rnacentral:piRNA from 1 species